ACGCUGUAAACGAUGAUUACUAGGUGUGGGGGGACUGACCCCUUCCAUGCCGGAGCAAACGCAAUAAGUAAUCCACCUGGGGAGUACGGCCGCAAGGCUGAAACUCAAAGGAAUUGACGGGGGCCCGCACAAGCAGUGGAGUAUGUGGUUUAAUUCGAAGCAACGCGAAGAACCUUACCAGGUCUUGACAUCGAGUGAAGACUUAAGAGAUUAAGUCGCCUUCGGGCACAAAGACAGGUGGUGCAUGGUUGUCGUCAGCUCGUGUCGUGAGAUGUUGGGUUAAGUCCCGCAACGAGCGCAACCCUUACCAUUAGUUGCUACGCAAGAGCACUCUAAUGGGACUGCCGUUGACAAAACGGAGGAAGGUGGGGAUGACGUCAAAUCAUCAUGCCCCUUAUGACCUGGGCUACACACGUACUACAAUGGCAAUAGAACAGAGGGAAGCAAUACAGCGAUGUAAAGCAAAACCCGAAAAAUUGUCUCAGUUCGGAUUGCAGGCUGCAACUCGCCUGCAUGAAGUCGGAAUUGCUAGUAAUCGCAGAUCAGCAUGCUGCGGUGAAUACGUUCCCGGGCCUUGUACACACCGCCCGUCACACCAUGGGAGUCGGUAACACCCGAAGCCAGUAGUCCAACCGCAAGGAGGACGCUGUCGAAGGUGGGAUUGAUGACUGGGGUG
rnacentral:rRNA from 1 species